UGAAUACGAGAUGCUACGGCGUCGAAGCAGUCUAUGUCAUACUUCCAAGAAAAGCUUGCACUGUCAUAAACAAAUAAUGCCUGUACCAUAACCGACACAGGUGGGUAGGUAGAGUAUACUAAGGGGCGCGAGAUAACUCUCUCUAAGGAACUCGGCAAAAUGACUCCGUAACUUCGGGAGAAGGAGUGCCUUAUUUAUAAGGUUGCAAUAACAAGAUCCAAGCAACUGUUUACCAAAAACACAGGUCUCCGCUAAGUCGUAAGACGAUGUAUGGGGGCUGACGCCUGCCCAGUGCCAGAAGGUUAAAGAAGUUGGUUAGCAUCCGCGAAGCUGAUAACUGAAGCCCUGGUGAACGGCGGCCGUAACAAUAACGGUCCUAAGGUAGCGAAAUUCCUUGUCGGGUAAGUUCCGACCCGCACGAAAGGCGUAAUGAUUUGGAUACUGUCUCGGAGAGGGGCUCGGUGAAAUAGACUUGUCUGUGAAGAUGCGGACUACCUGCACCAGGACAGAAAGACCCUAUGAAGCUUUACUGUAACCUGAAAUUGAAAUUGGACUUUACUUGCGCAGUAUAGGUGGGAGGCGUUGAGAAUAUUCUUGCGGGAUUAUUGGAGCCAUCAGUGAGAUACCACUCUUGUAAUGUUAGAUUUCUAACUUUGUAUCAUUAUCUGGUCAAAGAACAGUUUCAGGCGGGCAGUUUGACUGGGGCGGUCGCCUCCUAAACGGUAACGGAGGCGCACAAAGGUUUCCUCUGAACGGGUAGAAAUCGUAUCUAGAGUGUAAAGGCAUAAGGAAGCUUGACUGUGAGACCUACAAGUCGAGCAGGGACGAAAGUCGGUCUUAGUGAUCUGACGGUGCUGAGUGGAAAGGCCGUCACUCAACGGAUAAAAGUUACUCUAAGGAUAACAGGCUGAUCUCCCCCAAGAGUUCACAUCGACGGGGAGGUUUGGCACCUCGAUGUCGGCUCAUCGCAUCCUGGGGCGGUAGUACGUCCCAAGGGUUGGGCUGUUCGCCCAUGAAAGCGGUACGCGAGCUGGGUUCAGAACGUCGUGAGACAGUUCGGUCCAUAUCCGGUGUAGGCGUUAGAAUAUUGAGAGGAGCCUUCUUUAGUACGAGAGGACCGAGAAGGACAUACCUCUGGUGAACCAGUUAUCGUGCCAACGGUAAACGCUGGGUAGCUAUGUGUGGAGUGGAUAACCGCUGAAAGCAUCUAAGUGGGAAGCCCACCUCAAGAUAAG
rnacentral:rRNA from 1 species